rnacentral:rRNA from 1 species
AGAGUUUGAUCCUGGCUCAGGAUGAACGCUGGCGGUCUGCUUAACACAUGCAAGUCGAACGGACUCUUCGGAGUUAGUGGCGGACGGGUGAGUAACGCGUGAGAAUCUGCCUCCAGGACGGGGACAACAGAGGGAAACUUCUGCUAAUCCCGGAUGAGCCGAAAGGUCAAAGAUUUAUCGCCUGGAGAUGAGCUCGCGUCUGAUUAGCUAGUUGGUGAGGUAAAAGCUUACCAAGGCAACGAUCAGUAGCUGGUCUGAGAGGAUGAUCAGCCACACUGGGACUGAGACACGGCCCAGACUCCUACGGGAGGCAGCAGUGGGGAAUUUUCCGCAAUGGGCGCAAGCCUGACGGAGCAAGACCGCGUGGGGGAGGAAAGCCUUUGGGUUGUAAACCCCUUUUCUCAGGGAAGAAGAAAGUGACGGUACCUGAGGAAUCAGCCUCGGCUAACUCCGUGCCAGCAGCCGCGGUAAUACGGAGGAGGCAAGCGUUAUCCGGAAUGAUUGGGCGUAAAGCGUUCGUA